UAAAGUUCAAAUUUACUCUAACUCUAUUGUAUAGAGUAAGAUAGAUUGAUGAAUAACUAAUUAAAUGUAAUGAUAAAUAUUAUUGUUUCAUUAUUGUAAUAAUCUUACUUUCUAUUUUAUUUUAGAAUAUAAAAUAGGUGUACUUAAGUUAUAAAAAGAAGUUACUAUAAAUAGAGUAGGAAUAAAGAUGUACUCAAUGUCUUUCCCUGCACAAUCAAAUUAUAAAGAACGUUUUUAGGAAAAUAAAAUUUAUAAAGAACGUCAAUUUGUUUACAAAAGGUGUGAUUCAGUGGUAAAUUUGAUAUUAAAAUAGGCUUUUUUAACAGAGGAUUAACAUUAUACUGCCACAAACAAAGAAAAGGGUGAAAGAGGACCCACUCGAUGGUAGGAGGGAUCAAACCGUACGAGUGGCUAUAUCGACUGUUGAACCGCACGCCUACGCCAGCUCACUUACUGUUUGUAUAUCAUCCUUUUCUUCUCUUUUCUUUUUUUUCCCUUUUGCAAAUCAUUACUUUACUAUUGUAUUUGAGGAAUAAUACCAAAUUUUAUUAGCAUCAUGUUCUGAUAUAUUGACUCUAUCUAAAUCAAAUUGAUUCAAUUAAAUUUGUAUUAUAUCUCAUCAGAAGAAGAAGUUGAUUGGUUGGAUUUAGAUUUCGGGUACAUAUUCCGUUUGUCGUUUUAAGCUCAGCACUACUACAUACUUCUUAGUUUUUUUUUUUUUUGAAAACAACAUACUUCUUAGUUCUUACCAUAUCAAAGAGAUAAGAGAUUACAUCACCAAGAAGAACAACCACUUGUUUGUCCCCCCACUCCCUAAUUAAUUCUGAAUAAUCCUAUUACACAUAAAGAGGACCUAUGAUUAAUUAUCAUUAUUCAUUUGACAAAAGAUAACCAAAACAGGAAAAUCUUAAUUUGUUAGCCUUUAAAAGGAAAUUUAAUAUAAUAAUAAAGCCUAUAAAAGACACAUAUGAGAGUAGUCCAUAAUAGGAUUACUUUUACAAAUUUUCACUGUUGUAUAUUUGACAUGAAUUCAAAGAAAUAUACCUGAGAACAGAUGAAGAAGCAAAAUCAAAAUCAGUCAGAUGAGAUUAUAUCGUCUCCAGUGGUCAGUUCUGAACCAAAUAUGCGUUCAUGAUUUCAUCUACUGUUGACACUCUUGUCUUAUCUAAUAAAAUGACACGGCACUCACUCACUAUGGUCCUUCAAAUCCAACUUCAAUAUAAAAAUUGAUACAACAAGUAAAUAUGUAUGUGGCCAAGUCAGAUCCAUUCGUAGAGGUUUAGAGUAUCCACUGUGGUGGUCUCUAAGAGGGGUUCUCACCAAAAAACAAUAAUGAAAAUUAAAAAAAAUAUGAAAGAGAAUUUAGAAAAAUGGAGAAUGGUUUCUUCUUUGAAAAAUUAUGAACAGAAGGUGAAACAUUAACUAUUCAUUUGUCACAUUUUGAGUAGUACACCCAUUUUCUAAAAUUAAAAUUCAAUUAUAUAAUUCAAUUACUCAAAAAUAUUAAUAAAUAAUCACAAGAAACUCACCUUGAGAAACUUAUUGACGUUGAUGCUCUAAGAGACAUCUGAUUGGUUAGGGGGAUUUUUUUCAGGAUCUUUCAGUUUUACUUCGUUGCAAAACAGCUAAAGAUAGAGUUAAAAUAUCCAAAAGGAAUUGUAAAAGAUGGUGAAGUUUGAAAACGAAAGACAAAGGAGUGAGUACCUCACAAAUAUCUUUCGUGCGGUUAAUUUCAAAAGAGACAGAGAAGGACACCAAAUCUUGGGAGGACUAUCUUACCAAGAUCUCCUCUGCCUAUUUCAUCCACAUCUUCCUCUUCUUUUUUCUGAUUCGAGGGGAAAAACAAAACAAAAAAAAUGACAUAAAGAGUUGAAGGAGAGGGACUUGACCAUGUGACUAUGUGCUCUCCUCUAACAGUGACAUCAACUCUAGUCACCAAAAUCCCACUUCCUUUACGUUUUUACUGUUUCGACAGAUAGUGCACGUUACUGUAAUGCACAGCGCUCUUCACCUUUUAAUGCUACAGAACAUACAUGACAAAGAGACUAUUAGCACGUCUUAUAUUAGGACCCACGUACAGAUAUCUUAUCAGUCAUGCCUAGGGAAAUUCUUAUAAACGUGAAACAUGACCCAUAAAAACUUAAAUCCAAUAUGGUGAUUAACUUGAGGGUAAAAAACCCAAUAUGGUGAAGCCACCAAGGUUCGAAUCCCGGUCACUAGAAAAUUAACAUUUCAGCAUCGCCAGAGACAGGGGACCGACACAUGGCAACACACUUCUGUGGAGCAAUGAUAUCCCUGUAUAAAUUAAAAAAAAAAGAGACAUGUAAGAACCUGAGUGCAGUUGUGCUUUGGAAGUUUAUGGAGAAUUACCAAUAGGGAAAAAACAAUCCAACAAAAAACUAAAAAAUUUAACCGGCUAAUGACUAGCCUAUUCAGCAUGUUUGGAUGACAGCCUAAACUUUAGGACAAAACCUAAAAAACUGAUUGGACAAAACCGAAACCCGAUUGGAAUCCCGAAUGCCCAAACCUAGCCUAAAGCUUAUUCAGCCCGUUUGGAUAACCACCUACAGGCAGCAAUCCUCAUGGCUAUCUAUCCCACAUUACGAGAAGAUUCAAAUGCUAUUGAGUAACCGUUUCCUCGGGUUUUAGAUGGUUCCUGAGAACGGAGUACGGACCGUGGAACUACAACUUUAAUGGGAGUCAAGCACACGAUGAGCAUGAAAUACAGCGUCAAACUUGGAUCCCCAAAGGAGUACUAUCACGAGAAAUAUCGACCCACUGAUCAUUUCUUGGAGUUAAGCAACAUGGAGGAGGCUGACAUCGCUGAGGAAGAUCGUGAGGACAACUUUGCUUGAACAUUAUGUUUUUAAAACUUCCUCGUCUUAUUUUGCUAUAGUCUUGUAAUGUCUUAUGUACUACGCAAACGAGUGACUGAGUUUUACUGCAUUGUGCGUUUAUUGUGUGAGGUAAGAUUGAAAUGUCCCUAAAUCUAUUAUAACAUCUUUUGCCAGUAGAGCUAAAUCUUUUAUGU